rnacentral:lncRNA from 1 species
GAGGAGGUGCAGUCCUUCGGUUACAAGAGGUUUGGUAUUCAGGAGGGGACACAAUGUACCAAAUGUAAAAAUAACUGGGCACUGAAGUUUUCGAUUAUAUUAUUAUAUGUUUUGUGUGCCUUACUGACCAUCACAGUAGCCAUUUUGGGAUAUAAAGUUGUAGAGAAAAUGGACACUGUCACAGAUGGCAUGGAGACAUCUCGCCAGACUUACGACAACAAGCUCAUUGCUGUGGAAAGUGAUCUGAAGAAAUUAGGUAAACUAAAGCAAGAGUGAACCAUUGAGUGGAGGGAGUCCCCUGUAUGAGUGCUGACACCUUUUCAGAAUGGUGAUGCACUCAGGGCUUCUGUUGUGUUUUUCAACUUUCCUUGCCUUUUCAUUGAAAUACUUCCAUUUUAAAGAAUAAGAAUUUCCACCUUAAAAUUUUACGAACCAUAUAAGAUCUGCUCCCUACUCUUGACUGAACAGGACCAUUAAGUCUUGCCUCUAGAAAGCUGGGAUUAACCUAUACCCAGCAGAGUUGACUUUUAAUAUAAAAGAUUGUGGCCUGUGUGGUUUCUUUCUUUUCUUUUUAAUGAUUCGUUUAUCUUAUUAUAUGUGCAUUGGUGUUUUUGCAUGUAUGUCUGUGAAAGUGUUUGGAUCCUCUGGAAUUGGAGUUACAGAUAGUUGUGAGCUGCCAUGUGGGUGCUGGGAAUUGAACCCGAAUCUUCUGGAAGAGCAGCUAGUGCUCUUAUCUACUGAGCUAUGUCUUCAGCCCCUGCCUGUUUGGUUUCUUGAUGUUUGUUUUCAAUUAUUAAAAGAAUAAACUUUGGUUCAAAUGAUGUAUAAAGCUUUAUGAGUAUGAUUCUCCUCUUGAAAAUUGCUAGAAAUUUCUAGCAUUCAAAUUAUUUUUUCUUUUCUCAAUCUUUAGU